rnacentral:rRNA from 1 species
GAUGAACGCUGGCGGCGUGCUUAACACAUGCAAGUCGAACGAAGCACUUUGAUCGAUUUCUUCGGAUUGAAAUUUUAGUGACUGAGUGGCGGACGGGUGAGUAACGCGUGGGUAACCUGCCUCACACAGGGGGAUAACAGUUGGAAACGGCUGCUAAUACCGCAUAAGCGCACAGUACCGCAUGGUACAGUGUGAAAAAACUCCGGUGGUGUGAGAUGGACCCGCGUCUGAUUAGCUAGUUGGCAGGGCAACGGCCUACCAAGGCGACGAUCAGUAGCCGACCUGAGAGGGUGACCGGCCACAUUGGGACUGAGACACGGGCCCAAACUCCUACGGGAGGCAGCAGUGGGGAAUAUUGCACAAUGGGGGAAACCCUGAUGCAGCGACGCCGCGUGAGCGAAGAAG